GUUGGUCUUUGCGGUAUUCUGAUGAGCAGCAGCAUAUAUCGACGAAUUGGGAUCAGUUCUGAGGUGAGAGAGAAGGUGUUGUACAUCUGGUCGGAGAGAAUCUGCUGCUCUUCCAAUUAAGGCCAAUAUAUCUGGUCUCGGCUUGCUGCUACUUUGAACUGCACCUCCUUGUCCCUCACUUCCGAUUAAGGCCAAUAUGUCUGGUCUCGGCUUGCUGCUACUUUGAACUGCUCCACCUUGUCCCUCGUAGUGAACAACAUGGUGUCUGCAACCAUUUGAACACAG
rnacentral:lncRNA from 1 species